GUAAACUGCACAUACAUUUACAGAAGGAGGUAACAAAAAAAAAAAAAAAAAAAAAAAAAAAAAAAAAAAAAAAGCUUUAUUGCUUGGUCAGUUUCCUAAUUGUAAUAUUUUAUGGGUUUUAUGUGUUAAUAUAUUUUGUGCUUUCUGUUUCUUCAUUGUUUACUGUUUUAGCAUCCUACCAAAGCAAAGGCUGUUACUGAAAAUGGUAAUGUAAGUAAAAAAUAAAAGUACUACUUCUUUUCUUCUGAAAGAAAGGUAAGGAUAUAAGUGAAAUAAAAAAAAUAUAUACAUCCCUUGGAUUCACCCGAAAGCUUUUCUUUUUCAUAUGUACCUCAAAUCUAGAGAUUUCACAAGGUAUAUAAACAACAACGGUCUUAAGAAUAAGAAGCUUUUGAAAGAGUCCAGUUCUAAUUGAGUCAUAGCUCUGAAUCAUACAAAACUGUGGUAUCAUAUAGGUUUCUUCCUACAGUAUGCAUUGGAAAGGAGAGAAAGAAAAACAACUUUCUCAUUAUAUUUCAUUUGCAUAUGAGGAAAACAUUAAUAUCCUAUUAUGUUCAUCCUCCACAUGAGUCUAUAGAAAUCCCAUAAAUUAGAUUACUGCCUUUAAUCUAUGUUAGCAGAAACACUAAGGAAAAUAGAUAAAGGGAAAAUGCUUCAAGAAAAUGUUGGUUUCUGUCCUCAGUAUUUAGGGGAAAUGCUCCCCAAACAGCUGUUAGCUAAGAGGAAACCAAAGGACCAAAAGGAAACUGAAAGAUGAAACUUAGGAAAUUGAUCAACUGUCAUGUGGUAGUUACAGAAAUACUGUGCCAUCUAACCAUCAUAGAAUCACAGAAUCAUAGAAUCACUAAGGUUGGAAAAGACCCACGGGAUCAUCCAGUCCAACCAUUCGUUCACCCUUCACCAAUGGUUCUCGCUAAACCAUGUCCCUCAACACAACAUCCAAACGCUCUUUGAACACCACCAAGCUCAGUGACUCCACUACCUCUGGGCAGCCCAUUCCAGUGCCUGACCACCCUUUCAGAGAAGCAGUAUUUCCUAACGUCCAGCCUGAACCUUCCCUGGCGCAGCUUGAAGCCAUUCCCUCUAGUCCUAUCACUGUCACACGAGAGAAGAGGCUGACCCCCAGCUCACUACAACCUCCCUUCAGGUAGUUAUAGAGAGCAAUAAGGUCUCCCCUGAGCCUCCUCUUCUCUAGACUGAACAAUCCCAUCUCCUUCAGCCACUCCUCAUAAGGCCUGUGCUCCAGACCCCUCACCAGCUUUGUUGCCCUCCUCUGGACACGCUCCAGGGCCU
ensembl:lncRNA